CAGGGCCUGAGAAAGGAGGACCCCGUGCCGGGACUGUGGAGCCCCACCGGCCGUCUGUCUCGUGCCUUUGCAGAGAGGAGGAGAGACCUGGGACCUUGCACUUGCGAGGUAGGCGACAGAACCACCGAACUACAUCCCUGCCCUGCAUUUUCUAUCUCUAUAAAGUGUGAGGACAGCACGCACACCGUGCCAGACCUUAGCUUUGUGACCUGCCUGUGCUUCUGGGAAACCUGGUUAUCACAGGUGCCAGCUUGGGGAAACUAAGCAGCCUGCUCUUCCUACAGCCAGUCAUGUUCCAGACCUCUGCC
rnacentral:lncRNA from 1 species